rnacentral:rRNA from 1 species
CUACGCUGGCGGCAGCUACCAUGCAUGAUCGAACGGUACAGGAAGCACCUUGCUGCUUCGCUGACGAGUGGCGGACGGGUGAGUAAUGUCUGGGAAACUGCCUGAUGGAGGGGGAUAACUACUGGAAACGGUAGCUAAUACCGCAUAACGUCGCAAGACCAAAGAGGGGGACCUUCGGGCCUCUUGCUAUCGGAUGUGCCCAGAUGGGAUUAGCUAGUAGGUGGGGUAACGGCUCACCUAGGCGACGAUCCCUAGCUGGUCUGAGAGGAUGACCAGCCACACUGGAACUGAGACACGGUCCAGACUCCUACGGGAGGCAGCAGUGGGGAAUAUUGCACAAUGGGCGCAAGCCUGAUGCAGCCAUGCCGCGUGUAUGAAGAAGGCCUACGGGUUGUAAAGUACUUUCAGCGGGGAGGAAGGCGUUGUGGUUAAUAACCACAGCGAUUGACGUUACCCGCAGAAGAAGCACCGGAUAACUCCGUGCCAGCAGACGCAGGUAAUACGGAGGGUGCAAGCGUUAAACGGAAUAACUGGAGCGUAAAGC